CAACAAGGCUGUGCAAGAAACAAUCAGGAAAGCUCAGCAGCAUAAAACUAUGAGAAAACUGGGUCUGAGAAUCCAGAUGUCCUGAGUGAGUAAAGGGAAAAUUUUCACUUCUUCCUAUGGAAGCCUGUCACCCCCCAACUCCAUCCUAGGCUGAGGAAGUCUGCGUUCUUCUCUCACGGAGCUGGAGAACCUUUCAAGUGAUUGGCCUAAGAACAGGCAGGAGACGCGAUCUGGACCAAUCAGAAACUUACAUUGAGGUAUGUAUAUGUGCGUGU
rnacentral:lncRNA from 1 species